rnacentral:rRNA from 1 species
AGUCGAGGGGCAGCGGGGAGGUAGCAAUACUUCCGCCGGCGACCGGCGCACGGGUGAGUAACACGUAUGGAACCUGCCCGUAGCAGGGGGAUAAGCGGAAGAAAUUCCGUCUAAUACCGCGUAAUAACUCCGAGAGGCAUCUCAUGGGGUUUAAAGGGUGACACCGGCUACGGAUGGCCAUGCGGCGCAUUAGCUAGUUGGCGGGGUAACGGCCCACCAAGGCGACGAUGCGUAGGGGUUCUGAGAGGAAGGUCCCCCACACUGGUACUGAGACACGGACCAGACUCCUACGGGAGGCAGCAGUGAGGAAUAUUGGUCAAUGGGCGCGAGCCUGAACCAGCCAAGUCGCGUGAGGGAAGACGGUCCUAUGGAUUGUAAACCUCUUUUGCCGGGGAGCAAAAGACGCCACGUGUGGCGUUCCGAGAGUACCCGAAGAAAAAGCAUCGGCUAACUCCGUGCCAGCAGCCGCGGUAAUACGGAGGAUUCAAGCGUUAUCCGGAUUUAUUGGGUUUAAAGGGUGCGUAGGCGGUCGGAUAAGUUAGAGGUGAAAUCCCGGGGCUCAACUUCGGAAUUGCCUCUGAUACUGUUCGGCUAGAGAGUAGUUGCGGUAGGCGG